rnacentral:rRNA from 1 species
AGUGAACGCUGGCGGUAGGCCUAACACAUGCAAGUCGAACGGCAGCACAGUAAGAGCUUGCUCUUACGGGUGGCGAGUGGCGGACGGGUGAGGAAUACAUCGGAAUCUACUUUUUCGUGGGGGAUAACGUAGGGACACUUACGCUAAUACCGCAUACGACCUACGGGUGAAAGCAGGGGAUCUUCGGACCUUGCGCGACUGAAUGAGCCGGGGUCGGAUUAGCUAGUUGGCGGGGUAAAGGCCCACCAAGGCGACGAUCCGUAGCUGGCCUGAGAGGAUGAUCAGCCACACUGGAACUGAGACGCGGUCCAGACUCCUACGGGAGGCAGCAGUGGGGAAUAUUGGACAAUGGGCGCAAGCCUGAUCCAGCCAUACCGCGUGGGUGAAGAAGGCCUUCGGGUUGUAAAGCCCUUUUGUUGGGAAAGAAAAGCAGCAGGUUAAUACCCCGCUGUUCUGACGGUACCCAAAGAAUAAGCACCGGCUAACUUCGUG